CCUACGGGCGGCAGCAGUGGGGAAUUUUGGACAAUGGGCGAAAGCCUGAUCCAGCAAUGCCGCGUGAGUGAAGAAGGCCUUCGGGUUGUAAAGCUCUUUUGUUUGGGAAGAAAUCCCUAAGGAUAAUACCCUUGGGGGAUGACGGUACCAAAAGAAUAAGCACCGGCUAACUACGUGCCAGCAGCCGCGGUAAUACGUAGGGUGCAAGCGUUAAUAGGAAUUACGGGGGGGGUAUCGUGCGCCAGCGGUUAAAUCCCCGAGCUCAACUUGGGAACUGCACUGGUGACUGCAAGACUAGAGUGUGUCAGAGGGAGGUAGAAUUCCACGUGUAGCAGUGAAAUGCGUAGAUAUGUGGAGGAAUACCAGUGGCGAAGGCGGCCUCCUGGGAUAACACUGACGCUCAUGUACGAAAGCGUGGGGAGCAAACAGGAUUAGAUACCCUAGUAGUC
rnacentral:rRNA from 1 species